UUUGGUGGAUAUCCAUGCAGGUAUCCACUGGAUAUAAGGUUAAUACCAAACCCACCCGCAUCCAUGUGCGGGUUUUAAUUUAUAAUACUAAACCCGCCCACAAUGGAUAAAAUUACCCGCAGCGGGCGGGUUUUGGCGGGUGGGUUUGAGCGGGUUUGCGGGUACAAUUGCCAUCCCUAUAUGUAACAUGUUAAUUUUAAAAAAAUAAAUAUUUACAAUAAUCAUUUCAAGCCCCAAUUUCAAUUACAGUAUCUAUAAGUUUUUUACAAUUGUACGUUCUACAAAUGUUUCAUAUCAAAAGUUAUACAAAAAGAUUUGAUAAUUCCUUUUAUCUCUUCACUAUAUCUUCAAUAUAUCUUCGACUUAAUAACAUGCUUGCUUGCUGCCUUGAAAAAUUAUAUCUGUUUAUAGCCAAAGGGAAAAACAAAAACAACCCAAGAAAAAACAAUUAGCAAGAAGAUAAAAGAGCAAAGAAGUAACAAAAUAAAAAAGAAAAUAAAAAGAAACGUUUUUUGAGUGUUGUUUUCUUUGUAAUACAGUAGCAAAACCAAUUCUAGGCACCACAUAAAACAAAAAUAACAGUGCAAGUAAUUAGCCUCAACGUAAUUUUAAUUUAAGAGAUGAAGAGAGUUCAAACAAGCUGAUCAUAUGUCAAAUAAUUUAAAUGCUCGAACUUCUCAGUUCAUGAAAUUUUAAUAAAUUAAACUAUAAAAAUCAUAGAAUAAGCAUUUAUCCGUCUUCCCAUGGUUUCUUUCAACAAGCGCUAAAUGAAUUAUUGCUAUCAAAUUAAUAUAAGCUGCCAAAGUAAAUAAAUUAAAGGGAUGGACCUAAGUUUUAAGGUCUAGGAAUUUAACCUCUUCAUAUGGCCCAUCAAUUCAAUGAAUGUCACCAAACUUGAUUGUAAAUUCUUGACCUAUAGAAUUUUGAAAGAAUAUAUGAUUAGAAGGAUCCUAAAAAUCACCACCAUCUGCUAAACUGAAAUUUUGAAAGAGUAAAUUUAUUACGUUUGCACAUUCAUAUGCUUGUACUAUAUUAAUUUAAUAUAGUAUCCCAAUUUAGUCGUCCAAGAGCAUUAACACCUAUACACUAUAAGCUAAACAGUUAGAAGACUCUAUAGGUACCCUGAUAUGAGUGCAUAUCUAAAAAUAUUUUCAAAACUCAUGUUCAGAACUCAGAAACAUGAGAAUGGAUUGUAGAUACAUAAAUAUAUGACCAUUGUAGAUGUGAAUGGUGAGUAGUAUAGUUGUAACGCCAUACAGGCAAUUAAAGCACAAACUGCAAAAGUCACCUGAUACAGCUUGUAUUUUGUCAAAUCAUUUAACUAUUCAGCAAAGAAGAGGAGACCAUUGGCGUCAAAAUAUGCAGUUGCUUUGUUGUCUUCUACAUAAUUUGCAUUAAUGAAGUCAUAUUAUUGAUAGAACUAAUAAUUUUGAAUGAACUAAAAUGAAGAAAUUUGUUCGAAAGCUAAUUUAAGAAAAGGAAUUAGUUUCAAACUACCGAGAAAUAGAAACAAGGAAAGCAAUAACCAACAACAAAUUUAAAAAUCAACUUGCUUUCAUGCUUUUGUUCUUUAGGCUCAAAUUGUAUAGAAUCCUAAAUAACUCCUUCCAAUUCCUUAGUUUUUAUCUUGAAAGCAAUCAAAGCAUCCAUUUGCUUACUCAAACUUUCAACCUAAGCAUAAUUUUCUUUCACUUCAGUCUUGUAAAACUUGUCAAAUUUAUCAAACUCAUCAUCAAGCCUUCUAAAAAACUACUGCUCUCAUUCCCCUCCUUCCUCAACAAUCUUCCAAAAUAUUUUCAAUACAAAGUAGACCAAAAAAUUUCUAGGAGCCUUUUUGACUGUAGAACAUCAACUAAUCAACACCUGUAGAUUUCCAGCAGUUGUUUUGCUACUGUUCUGCAGUGAAAACAGCCAAUAGAAAUCUGCAGGGGCUGUUUUGCUGCUAUUUUGUAGUGAAAACAGCACCUGCAAAUUACCAAGGGAUGUUUCACUGCAGAAAAGCAGCAAAACAGCCAUUAUAAACUUCUAGCAGCUAUUUUGAUAGCAAACCUACAGAAAAAUUGCAAAACAAAAACUAUGGCGAGAGAGAAUGGAAUCAUUUUCCAUUACCACAACACAAAAGAUUCCCUUAAUCAACAGACAACAAUAUAAGAAAAAAAAUUAAAUAGAGUAAACAAAUCAAGUAAUCAAAUCCAUUGAAGAAAUUAUUGCACAAAAGGAUUAAGGAUUACGACAAUGAAACAAACACCUUCAAGAUGUUUUUGAUCUGCAUCAAAAAUUACAAAUCCAACCAAGAAACCGACUCCCAAAAUCACAGUUAGAUAGGAAAAUAUGAAAUUAAAAGUAAGUAAUUAAUUACUUAAUCAUAGAGAACCAAACCAAUCGAAGCGGUGAAUCAAAGUGGUCAUGUGACAGCUUCGGGCAACAAAGAAGAUCAACAUUCAAAUUUUAUUAAUUUAAGUAAAUAAAUCAAAAUCUCAGGCGAUGCACAUAUAUUAUCGAACAACAGAGACUCACAUGGUAGAGUGUUUUCUUCAGUGAGUGAAACGGCGAGUGAUGGCGAGGCUAGGGUUUUUCUGGUUCGAUGGUGAUUGACAGUGAAGGCUUUACUUUCAAGCAGUUAAUGAUUGGGUUUUCUUCGACGGCAAGGGUUUGGAUAUGGGUUAGAGUUUUCUUGGGUAAGAGGGGUACAAUGUUGACUCCGACAUAGUAGAGAGCAAGCAUGAGAGAGGGGCCGCUGGUGCUGGCCUGCUGUUGUGUGUGCAUGAGAGCGUGGUGAAAGAAAGGGCGGCUGCUGGUGGCCUGGUGCUGCCAUGCUCGGUUACUACUGCACAGGCUAAGUGUACCGACGGCGGGUGUGCUGUUGAGAAAGCAGGGUUGCGUGCGUGCGUGCUUUUAGAGUUGAGAAAUUAUCUGUAAUUUUAGGGAUUUGGUGUUUAGUAUAGGGCCGGUUAAUUUGGGAUAUAUAUAUCUCAAUGACGGUUCUAUAAUAACC
rnacentral:lncRNA from 1 species